GGUAAAAUGGCUGAGAUUAAGCAGUAAAUUGUAAAUUUACUUACGAAAUUUUUUUUCUUUUAUCA
rnacentral:tRNA from 1 species